UUGGAGGGCAAGUCUGGUGCCAGCAGCCGCGGUAAUUCCAGCUCCAAUAGCGUAUAUUAAAGUUGUUGCAGUUAAAAAGCUCGUAGUUGAUUUUCGGGAUCAAUGUUUCGGUCAUGCCGUUGGUAUGUACUGAUAUUAUUGAUUUCUCACCUUCUAAGGAACCGUAAUGCCAUUAAUUUGGUGUCACGGGGAAUUAGGACUGUUACCUUGAAAAAAUUAGAGUGUUUAAAGCAGGCUCACGCUUGAAUACAUUAGCAUGGAAUAAUGAAAUAGGACAUCCGAUUCUAUUUUGUUGGUUUCUAGGAUCGAUGUAAUGAUUAAUAGGGAUAGUUGGGGGCAUUAGUAAUCAAUUGUCAGAGGUGAAACUCUUGGAUUUAUUGAAGACUAACUACUGCGAAAGCAUUUGCCAAGGAUGUUUUCAUUAAUCAAGAACGAAAGUUAGGGGAUCGAAGACGAUCAGAUACCGUCGUAGUCUUAACCAUAAACUAUGCCGACUAGGGAUCGGAUGAUGUUAAUUUUUUAAUGACUCAUUCGGCGCCUUACGGGAAACCAAAGUGUUUGGGUUC
rnacentral:rRNA from 1 species